ACAAUGAGGCUCCCUGCUCAGCUCCUGGGGCUGCUAAUACUCUGGGUCCCUGGAUCCAGUGGGGAUAUAGUGAUGACCCAGACUCCACUCUCCCUGGCUGUCACCCCUGGAGAUCCGGUGUCCAUCUCCUGCAGGGCUAGUAAGAGCCUCCUGCACAGUGAUGGAAACACCUAUUCGUACUGGUUCCUGCAGAAGCCCGGCAGGUCUCCACAGCGCCUGAUCUAUUUUGUUUCCAACCGGGCCUCCGGAGUCCCAGACCGGUUCAAUGGCAGUGGGUCAGGGACAGAUUUCACCCUGAAGAUCAGCAGGGUGCAGGCUGAGGAUGCUGGGGAUUAUUACUGCUCGCAAGGUCUAGAAUAUCCUCACACAGUGAUACAGCCCCAAACACAAACCUCCCUGUUGGAUGGCCCAGGGCCCACCAGUGUUGUUUGUCUGGUGAGCAGGCACCAUACCAUGAGUUGCGAGGAACUCAGGGUAACAGGCAGUAGUGAAUGCUCCGGACCGUGA